CAUAGCCAAAAAGCGAGGAAGGCUCAGAGUUGCAAUCCUACAACAUCUGGCAGCCACAUGAGUUUCUUGCUCUGUUUGGGUUUUUGAUGACUGCCAUGAAGGUGGUGAGAUAUCUCCAUCAAACUGUAUUUAUAUGAUGGAAUGGCUAGAAUUUUAGCAGUCAAAUGAGAACCAUGAGUUUGAAAGUUUCUUGUAACCCAAAUUAAUGAGCCAGUUUACUAUUUAAUCGUGGACUCUUUUAUUGGAGAGAACUCAAGGUAUGGAGUAUUUUUGAAAAUGCUAAAUCGCUUUUGAAGGAGAACCAUUUUUGAAAAGCAUUGUAUUCCACAGAUGGUUUGUAUCAGUGUACCCCCAGUAAGGAAUUAUGCAGAUUAUGGCCCAAAACAUCUGGAGGUGAAAAAUUCUUCACUCUUGUUCAUGUUGCAGGAAGAAGUCCCAAAAAUAUUUCUUUUAUUAAACAUAUGAAGACAUAAACCAAACACGGUUAUACAUAGCUGCUGGAAAGACAAGUAUUGUUUUGAGGGAAUUAGGUUGUGCUUUGGUAAAAUAAUUCUGCUUCUUGCCAUUGUAUCACACAAUUCCCUUUUGGAACAUAAUGUUAAAAAGAACAAUGCAUUAAAAAAGAAGACAGUCAUGUUUUUGGGGCUGGAAAUCAUAGCUCCCAAAGCACCUAGAUGCUCUCUGUGCUGUACUCAUUGUUAAUCUCAGGACAUAGGGUAAAAUAUAUGUGCUUUUAUAAAUAAAAUCUUAUUAUAAGGCA